rnacentral:rRNA from 1 species
GAUGAACGCUGGCGGCGUGCCUAAUACAUGCAAGUCGAGCGAACGGACGAGGAGCUUGCUCCUCUGAUGUUAGCGGCGGACGGGUGAGUAACACGUGGAUAACCUACCUAUAAGACUGGGAUAACUUCGGGAAACCGGAGCUAAUACCGGAUGAUAUAUUGAACCGCAUGGUUCAAAAGUGAAAGACGGUCUUGCUGUCACUUAUAGAUGGAUCCGCGCUGCAUUAGCUAGUUGGUAAGGUAACGGCUUACCAAGGCAACGAUGCAUAGCCGACCUGAGAGGGUGAUCGGCCACACUGGAACUGAGACACGGUCCAGACUCCUACGGGAGGCAGCAGUAGGGAAUCUUCCGCAAUGGGCGAAAGCCUGACGGAGCAACGCCGCGUGAGUGAUGAAGGUCUUCGGAUCGUAAAACUCUGUUAUUAGGGAAGAACAAAUGUGUAAGUAACUAUGCACAUCUUGACGGUACCUAAUCAGAAAGCCACGGCUAACUACGUG